UCAUAAGAGAUCAUUUGAAGAAGAGGAUACAUUAGCAAAGUUAAUGGUUAGAGGAUACAUGAAUAAGCAUUACUGUUACAUGCAUGUUCUGUCCAUAAAGUUGUGCAUAAACCUUCCAAUAAACAAGUCUGCACUGCAACACAGUCGGCAACGUUGUCACCAGUGGCAGCUGGUAACAAAUAAUUUGUGUGUGGUGGUGGAACUGGCUUAUUCUUCAUUAUUUUUAUUCAUUUUUGUUUUUUUUCUUCCCAAGUAAACACAGUGUGAAGGGAUUUUUCAUAAAGAAAUUAUCAUUUUUUAUUUUAUUUAUUUAUUUAUUUCCCUCAAAGCUGACAUUUCCUUGGCGCAGAUUGUUGUACUCAUUUAGCCGUCAACGCUCACCCAUGAAACUUGAUGAUACAUGAAAUAAUUCACAGAAUGCAACUAAUUUUCAACCAGUACUAGCAGACUACCAACCAGACAAAAGCAGGCACGCAGUAUAAGUUGUGUAUUUAAUUGUUUUGCAUUAUCUAAUUGAUUAAUUUUAGAGGCAGACUUCUUGAUGGCAGCAGCAGUCCAGUGCCCCAUAUUAACUGGUGGCUACUGGUUGCCACAUUAUUUGUAUGCUAUUUUAAAAUUCCUGUCUCAGCAAAAUUUUAUUUUAAACAUCUCAGUUGAGAUAAUUGCUAAAUAUCCUUAAGAACCAACACUAUUUUCUUUUAACUUAACUAACAUUAAUAUU